GACGAACGCUGGCGGCGCGCCUAACACAUGCAAGUCGAACGAGCGAGCGAGAGCUUGCUUUCUUGAGCGAGUGGCGAACGGGUGAGUAACGCGUGAGGAACCUGCCUCAAAGAGGGGGACAACAGUUGGAAACGACUGCUAAUACCGCAUAAGCCCACGGUGCCGCAUGGCACAGAGGGAAAAGGAGCAAUCCGCUUUGAGAUGGCCUCGCGUCCGAUUAGCUAGUUGGUGAGGUAACGGCCCACCAAGGCGACGAUCGGUAGCCGGACUGAGAGGUUGAACGGCCACAUUGGGACUGAGACACGGCCCAGACUCCUACGGGAGGCAGCAGUGGGGAAUAUUGCACAAUGGGGGAAACCCUGAUGCAGCGACGCCGCGUGGAGGAAGAAGGUCUUCGGAUUGUAAACUCCUGUUGUUGGGGAAGAUAAUGAAGGUACCCAACAAGGAAGUGACGGCGAACUACGU
rnacentral:rRNA from 1 species